rnacentral:rRNA from 1 species
UACGUAGGGGGCUAGCGUUGUCCGGAAUCAUUGGGCGUAAAGCGCGUGUAGGCGGUCCGGUAAGUCCGCUGUGAAAGUCGGGGGCUCAACCCUCGAAAGCCGGUGGAAACUGUCGGGCUAGAGUGCGGAAGAGGCGAGUGGAAUUCCUGGUGUAGCGGUGAAAUGCGCAGAUAUCAGGAGGAACACCACUUGCGAAGGCAGCUCGCUGGGACGUUACUGACGCUGAGACGCGAAAGCGUGGGGAGCAAACAGG